UCCCAAAGCUGUCCCUCCUGUGAUCCCAAUAAGGAAGAAAGAUGCAGAAACUCCUGGGAGUGUGUUUGGUGACUCUGUGGCUUCAGCUGGCCAUGGUGAACAGCCAACAACAAGAAGAGAGUUCUUGGGUCCUGAGCAUCCAGGAGGGACAAAAUGCCACCAUGAACUGCAGUUAUAAAACUAGUACUAACAACCUGCAGUGGUACAGACAGGACUCAGGUAAAAGUCCUGCUCUGGUGAUUUUAAUACGUUCAAAUGAGAAAGAAAAACACAGUGGAAGACUAGCAGCCACCCUGGACACCUCCACCAAAAGAAGCGUCCUGUCCAUCACGGCUUCCCAGGCUGCAGAUGCUGCCACUUACUUCUGUGCUACAGAUGCACAGUGAUCAGCAGGCACCUGCAGCCCUGACGCAAACCC